rnacentral:snoRNA from 1 species
UUCUUCUGAGUUUGCUGAAGCCAGUUUGAAAGGUCUUA